UGAUGGACUGGCCUUAAGAGCUCAA
rnacentral:misc_RNA from 1 species